GAUGAACGCUGGCGGCGUGCUUAACACAUGCAAGUCGAACGAACGACUUUUGACGGACACUUCGGUGGAAGGCAGAAGAAGUUAGUGGCGGACGGGUGAGUAACACGUGGGCAAUUUACCUUUCAGACAGGGAUAACACCGGGAAACUGGAGCUAAUACCUGAUGCGCUCAACAGUAGGCAUCUACAGUUGAGGAGACAGAGGCCUCUCGACGAAGCUCCUGCUGAAAGAUAAGCCCGCGCCUGAUUAGCUAGUUGGUGGGGUAAGAGGCCUACCAAGGCAACGAUCAGUAGCCGGCCUGAGAGGGUGAACGGCCACACUGGGACUGGGACACGGCCCAGACUCCUACGGGAGGCAGCAGUGGGGAAUAUUGCGCAAUGGGGGAAACCCUGACGCAGCAACGCCGCGUGAAUGAAGAAGGUUUUCGGAUCGUAAAGUUCUGUCAAUUGGGAAGAAGGCCUACUAGUUAAUAGCUAGUGGGAUGACGGUACCUAAGAAGGAAGCUCCGGCUAACUAUGUGCCAGCCGCCGCGGUAA
rnacentral:rRNA from 1 species